rnacentral:rRNA from 1 species
GACGAACGCUGGCGGCGUGCUUAACACAUGCAAGUCGAACGGAAAGGCCCCUUUGGGGGUACUCGAGUGGCGAACGGGUGAGUAACACGUGAGUAACCUGCCCUUGACUUCGGGAUAACUUCAGGAAACUGGGGCUAAUACCGGAUAGGAAUCCUUGCUGCAUGGUGGGGGUUGGAAAGCUUCGGCGGGUUUGGAUGGACUCGCGGGUUAUCGGCUUGUUGGUGGGGUAGUGGCUUACCAAGGCUUUGACGGGUAGCCGGCCUGAGAGGGCGACCGGCCACAUUGGGACUGAGAGACGGCCCAGACUCCGACGGGAGGCAGCAGGGGGGAAUAUUGCACAAUGGGCGGAAGCCUGAUGCAGCAACGCCGCGUGCGGGAUGACGGCCUUCGGGUUGUAAACCGCUUUCAGCAGGGGCGAAGCUUGUGGUGACGGUACCUGCAGAAGAAGCACCGGCUAACUACGUG